UCAGUCGGCCAUACCACCUUGAAAAUGCCCGAUCUUGUCUGAUCUUGGGAGGUGAGCAGGGUUGGGCCUGGUUAGAACUGUAUGGGAGACCACUGAAAACACUGCAGGUGCUGCAGUGGU
rnacentral:rRNA from 1 species